AAUCUCGCUGGGCGCUUCCUGCAGGUCCGCGGGGACUUUCCCUGCCCGGAACCCCUCACCGAGCUGAGGGGCGACUGAAAACGAAAACCAGAAGAAAAAGCCAGAGACCCCAGAGCCAGCUGAUUGCAGUGACCCACAGCAGAGCUCCCAGCAUUCAGCUGCAGCAGCAUCCACAAGGCAGGACAUGGUUCUUCCCAGGGGAGUGGGAGGGCAAGAGGACACACAUGAAAAGAUGAGAAAAUCCCACCAGGGUACAGACUGAAGGGACCUUUCUCACAGAACAGAAGGACUCUCUCCAUUAAAACAAACAAAUAAAUAAAAGUUUGAAACACA